GAUGAAGAACGUAGCGAAAUGCGAUAAGUAAUGCGAAUUGCAGAAUUCAGUGAAUCAUCGAAUCUUUGAACGCACAUUGCGCCCGCUAGUAUUCUGGCGGGCAUGCCUGUCUGAGCGUCAUUUCAACCCUCGCCCCCGGCUUUUGCUGGGAGCGGUGUUGGGGAUCGGCCGCCCGUCACUGGGAGGCCGGCCCCGAAAUAGAGUGGCGACCACGCCGUGUGCUCCUCUGCGUAGAAGUAAAUCACCUCGCAGGCGGACAGCGGUGCGGCCUGCCGUAAAACCCCCAACUCUUUCUGGUUGACCUCAGAUCAGGUAGGAAUACCCGCUGAACUUAAGCAUAUCAAUAAGCGGAGGA
rnacentral:misc_RNA from 1 species